CCUACGGGUGGCAGCAGUGGGGAAUAUUGGACAAUGGGGGCAACCCUGAUCCAGCCAUGCCGCGUGUGUGAAGAAGGCCCUCGGGUUGUAAAGCACUUUCAGUGAGGAAGAACGCCUGGUGGUUAAUACCCAUCAGGAAAGACAUCACUCACAGAAGAAGCACCGGCUAACUCCGUGCCAGCAGCCGCGGUAAUACGGAGGGUGCGAGCGUUAAUCGGAAUUACUGGGCGUAAAGCGCGCGUAGGUGGCUUGAUAAGCCGGUUGUGAAAGCCCCGGGCUCAACCUGGGUACGGCAUCCGGAACUGUCAAGCUAGAGUGCAGGAGAGGAAGGUAGAAUUCCCGGUGUAGCGGUGAAAUGCGUAGAGAUCGGGAGGAAUACCAGUGGCGAAGGCGGCCUUCUGGACUGACACUGACACUGAGGUGCGAAAGCGUGGGUAGCAAACAGGAUUAGAUACCCGGGUAGUC
rnacentral:rRNA from 1 species